rnacentral:rRNA from 1 species
UACGGAGGGUGCAAGCGUUAUCCGGAUUCACUGGGUUUAAAGGGUGCGUAGGUGGGCAGGUAAGUCAGUGGUGAAAUCUCCGGGCUUAACUCGGAAACUGCCAUUGAUACUAUCUGUCUUGAAUACCGUGGAGGUUAGCGGAAUAUGUCAUGUAGCGGUGAAAUGCUUAGAUAUGACAUAGAACACCAAUUGCGAAGGCAGCUGGCUACACGAGUAUUGACACUGAUGCACGAAAGCGUGGGGAUCAAACAGG